AGGACGAACGCUGGCGGCGUGCCUAACACAUGCAAGUCGAGCGGUAAGGCCUCUUCGGGGGUACACGAGCGGCGAACGGGUGAGUAACACGUGGGUGACCUGCCCUCAGCUCUGGGAUAAGCCUGGGAAACUGGGUCUAAUACCGGAUAUGACUUCUCCUCGCAUGGGGGGGUUGUGGAAAGUUUUUUCGGCUGGGGAUGGGCCCGCGGCCUAUCAGCUUGUUGGUGGGGUGAUGGCCUACCAAGGCGGUGACGGGUA
rnacentral:rRNA from 1 species